GACGAACGCUGGCGGCGUGCCUAAUACAUGCAAGUAGAACGCAGUUACGAACGGGUGAGUAACGCGUAGGUCACUGCCUGGUAGCAGGGGAUAACUAUUGGAAACGAUAGCUAAUACCGCAUACUACCAGAUGGACCUGCGUUGUAUUAGCUAGUUGGUGGGGGAACGGCUCACCAAGGCAACGAUACCUAGCCGACCUGGGAGGGUGAUCGGCCACAAUGGGACUGGGACACGGGCCAGGCUCCUACGGGAGGCAGCCGGAGGGAAUCUUCGGAAAUGGGCGGAAGUCUGACCCAGCAACGCCGCGGGAGUGAAGAAGGGUUUCGGAUCGGAAAGCUCUGUUGGAAGAGAAGCGGUAUCUUACCAGAAAGGGACGGCUAACUACGUGCCAGCCGCCGCGGUAAUAC
rnacentral:rRNA from 1 species